rnacentral:lncRNA from 1 species
UGUGGCUCAAGCACUUUGACGGGUAGAUGGCACUCAGGUCAGUACCCCUAAAUGGGGAGGCUCUGGCCAGUCACUGCCUUGGCUCUGGGAGCCUGGACUAUAUUUGGAACUCUUAGGGGCCCUGGGUCAUUGUGAAGUCUCCAGCGAGGAAUCUGCCUCUCAUUUGCUUGGAUGAAACACUGUUGAGCAGUUUGGGCUGUGCUGGUUCUGAAGAGUGAAGCAGCAUUGCAGGGAUCUUGUUCCAGCCCUGUUUCUGGGACUCCUCUACUACCACAGCCUGCUGGCCCACAGACCUCCUUCUCCUCUGCAUCCCGGUGGUCCUGACUCAGACCUUCUACAUUGUCACUUAGCAUUCACAACUCGCCAUUGAUCAAUGUCCCCCUUGGGAUCCUGUCUCACCAGGAGAACAAGUUGUACCAGCCUGUGCCCUUGGAUGCCAUUCCAGGCAGCAAUUCUGAAGACAGCUCUGGGGCUCCUCAGGUCUCUCUGCAGUGCUCCUCCUUCCCCUCUGCCUCCACUGCCCCAUCUCACCAGCCCUCCCCACCAACAUUUCCUCCAAGCCUCAACAAGUCACCCAAGAGUAUUCUAAGGUCCCUGCUGGUCUAUCUGACAAUAUGCAGAUAGGCCUUGGUUGCCUUGGCUGGCUGUGACCUUGCUGACAUCUAUAGACAGAGAGGUGGGAAUGAAAGACACAUUACUCCUGGAUGUUGGUGGAGAAGGUGGUGGUUGCAGUUGCUACGCAAGAGUCACCAGGCUGCAGACUCUGUCCACUUCUGAGAGUGCAAUGUCCCCUGUGAUUGGCUGGGAUUUCUGAGCUUUUCAGCUUGCAUAUGGUGAGAAUGUUGGCACACCGCAGCCCUGAGGGCCUGGGCUUUGGACUCCGGCAGUCCCACAUGUGUGUGCUACCUCUGCCGCUCUCUGGUUGUAUGAAGUCAAGCAAUGUCUGUAACCUCACUGAGUCACAGCGCUCUGCUCUGUAGAAUGGAGAUGGGAUCCUCUCUACCUCCUGCAGUGUCUGUGAAUGCCAUAACACAAGCCAGAGUGCUGAGCACCGUGCCCACCCUAGAAGAGGGCUCGGUGUAUAGUAGCAGCUCUUAAUGCUCCCAGGAUGCCUAAUAAAUUCUUUCAGAAA